CCUACGGGUGGCUGCAGUAGGGAAUAUUGGGCAAUGGUCGGAAGACUGACCCAGCCAUGCCGCGUGCAGGAUGAAGGCGCUCAGCGUUGUAAACUGCUUUUGAUCGGGAAGAACGGCCGCCCUGCGGGGUGGUGUGACGGUACCGACAGAAUAAGCACCGGCUAACUCCGUGCCAGCAGCCGCGGUAAUACGGAGGGUGCAAGCGUUGUCCGGAUUUAUUGGGUUUAAAGGGUGCGUAGGUGGCUUUUUAAGUCUGACCUGAAAGUGGGCCGCUU
rnacentral:rRNA from 1 species